rnacentral:misc_RNA from 1 species
UACAGAGGCCUCAAGCGUUAUCCGGAAUCAUUGGGCGUAAAGGGUGCGUAGGCGGCUUUAUUAGUCUCUUGUUAAAUACUUCGGCUCAACCGGAGAUUCGCGGGGGAAACGGUAAAGCUAGAGAUUGUGAGAGGUGUGUGGAACUCAUGGAGUAGGGGUGAAAUCCGUUGAUAUCAUGGGGAACACCAAAAGCGAAGGCAACACACUGGCACAUUUCUGACGCUGAGGCACGAAAGCUAGGGUAGCGAACGGG